UACGGAGGAUGCGAGCGUUAUCCGGAUUUAUUGGAUUUAAAGGGUGCGUAGGCGGGCUUUUAAGUCAGCGGUAAAAAUUCGGGGCUCAACCCCGUCCGGCCGUUGAAACUGGGGGCCUUGAGUGGGCGAGAAGAAGGCGGAAUGCGUGGUGUAGCGGUGAAAUGCAUAGAUAUCACGCAGAACCCCGAUUGCGAAAGCAGCCUUCCGGCGCCCUACUGACGCUGAGGCACGAAAGUGCGGGGAUCGAACAGG
rnacentral:rRNA from 1 species